UGUUACGAGUUACUACAUUCGGCACAUUGAAAGCCGAAUUUGAUAUUGAACUUUGCAGAACUAGCAGCCUUGUCUUCAGGCUCUAGAACCCGAAGGCCGAGAGUGUUCCUUCCUCGGCCGCAGUCGCAAGAUUCAGAAGUCAGCAGCGCACCCAACGCAACAUCAACAAAUUUUACUCCUCGGCCGAGCACGGCCGAUGAGUUGGCACGCCCCGCAUACAACCGAAGGACGUAGUUAGCUUACUAAUUACUCGGCCUGCGCGCCACGUAGGCUUGGUAGUUUUUAGGGUCAACAUUUUGGCACGCCCAAUGGGACCCAGUGCUAAAACUACGAAGUUCACAUGAUCUAUCUCGACUAGGCUUCAAGGGAUGAGUGUUAUCGCCUAUUAAAGAAGCAAAAACAACUUCUCGAGAGAUUGGGAAGAAUUUCUUAAAGGCAAGAGGCCGGGGGGCAAAUUUCCACUCCGGCCACAACCAAUACUCGGCCUAAGAAAAUUGUUAAUGUGGCCGAAGAACAAAGGCCACCUAUUUUUUCGGUCGAGACUGAAAGUGUGGUAGGCCUAGAAAAAAAUGUUCAAGUUUCUGAGCCACAAAUUGACUCAGAAAAUGAUUCAUCAGAUGAGUGCUCCAAUGACGAACAAGACCAACACACGACUUCAAACCAUAAAAUCACAUCGAUUGAUAUGGUAAUUGAAGACAUAGGUCUAGCCGAAAAACUCACGCCAAUUGAUAUGAUUAUUGGUGAUAAAGCCGAUAUGGGGAAAUCUCGUUCGGCUAAGUUGUUCGAGUUAAAAGCCGAAAUUGACGAAAUUGUUAUGCCUGGGGGGCAUAAUAAUUGUUCAAUACAUUCGGCAGCCGAAAAUGAAAAAUAUUUCGUCGAGUCAAAGAUAUUUGGAGAAAAUUCUUUAUUCAGCAUAGAGCGAAAUCAAUUUGAAGAUUUCGUUAUUACAAGGUCUCGACUUGGAAUAAAGCAUCGUUGGCCUCCUCCUAACUAUGGUUCGGCCACUUUUCUUUUCAUUUGUUCAAUAUAUAUAUGUUAUUUUCUUAAACAUACGGCUAUGCAAGCAGAUGCAUAAAAAAAAGGGCAGCAACAACAUUAGUUGGCCGAAUAAAAAAUAAAAUAAAAUAAAAUAAUUCGGCUGUCUAGGCCGAAGCCGAGAGCCAGGAAAAUGCUAUGGUGGCCAUAUAGGUGUUGGCAGAUUCAAAGUCUUGUAUUGCCGAGCUCGGCGAGGUUGGUUAGAUCCAAAAAUGAAUUGGCAGAUUCAAAAAAGGGCAAAGGCGUUAAAUCUUGCUGAAGAAAUGGAGGCUUCUCAUCUUGAUGUAUGCACGACAUGGAAAUAUAUAUAAAAGUAUGGGGCUUUGAAAGGUCAAAUCAGUUGAGAAAAGGCUUUAGGCCUAAACCCUAGACCUGAUUGUUGCAGACAUUUUUCGGCAGAAUUGGGUGAAUAUAUAUAUAUGGCAGUAUCACAUGGGUGCUGACAUUGGGAUAUAUAUAUAGAUAUAUAUGUAUAGCAGCGUCACAUCAGGCAGGUUUAUAUAUAUAUAUAUAUAUGUUAUAUGCCGAUUGCAUGGCCGAGAAAUCACAUCAGGCAAUCUGGUUUACAUGUAUAUAUAGGCAGGCCUGGAGAUUUUUAUUGACCUCGGCCCCAAUUUCUCUCGGCCUCGGCCUCGGCCCUGCUCGACCACAAUUCUUCUCGGCCUCGACCCUACUUUAUGAUAUUGCCAGAACAGAGGUGACUUUAAUGCCGAGGAACAAACUUUGUUUUAGCAAUACGACGAGAUGUUGUUGGCUAUGAACCAGUUAAUUUCCUUAACCAUUCGGCUUACAGGCCGAAGCUCAAGGAAACUGGGGGGCAAUGUUUGGACCCAAUUUUACACCAUCAGUCCGUGUAAUCAAGGCCGUUGAGUAAGCGUAGUUCUCAACCGUCGGAUGGAAAAUGGAAGAUAUUUUUGUUAAAAGAUAAUAUUAUGGUUUUUAUCAUAAUUAUCUUUUAAUAUGAAUUAUCUCGGUGUAUAAGCAGUACAAUUCGAAUUGAUUUGGGAUGUCUGACAGCACUUGGAAGUAAAAUGGAUUUAAAAUUCAUUUGAUCAGAAUGAUGAUGGCUAUUGUUGAUGAGGUGAGGAUGAGAUAGGAUACCUAAGAGGGCUAGGUUUAUGGAUGUUGUCAGAUGAAGUGAAUUGAUGAUGGACAUGGCCUGCAUGUCGUGUCAAAGGCUACCAGCCAUAUACCUAUAAAUAUAUAUAUAUAUAUAUAUAUAUAUAUAUAUAAUUGGCGACAAGACUGCGAACUCAUUGGAAAGGUGCAAACUUUGUUUAUAUAUAUAUAUAUAUAUAUAUAUAUAUAUAUAUAAUUGUUAGCUGUUUAGAUAAACACUAUUUGUUCAAAGUCCAAGCUUGCGGAUUAUCUUGGAAUUCGAAUUUGGUUGUAUUUUCGACUAGAUUCAGAGUCUUGGGGGUAGUAUGGCUUAUCUGACGAAUCAGUGGAAGAGUUAUAAUACAUGGCAGAAGCCUAUAUCAGCUUAUCAACCAACGCGCAUAUGUCCUUAUAAAUACAGAGGCAGAGGCAACGGAAGAAGGACCUCCAAUUCAACACACAAAACUGCCCUGCGCAAACCCUCUCAACAACUUUGAGAUUUUUUUAUUUUCUCUUUUCGCUAACACAUCUUCCGUUGGUAUCAACAGCAGUGUGAAAGCAACCGGUGAUAUCUUAAGUCGGCAUAGAUAGCUCUGUCACCGUAGAAUCAGCCGGUCUCGCAGCAUCUUCCGUUGGCAUCAACAACACUACGGCGAGGACGGUUGGUUAUCUAUCCAAGUCUCGGUCGAGAAGGAUUUCCGAAUCCUUGUUGGUCGAGGUCAUCUCAUUAGCCUUCUCGGCGAAGUGAGGUGUUACGAGUUACUACAUUCGGCACAUUGAAAGCCGAAUUUGAUAUUGAACUUCGCAGAACUAGCAGCCUUAUCUUCAGACUCUAGAACUUGAAGGCCGAGAGUGUUCCUUCCUCGGCCGCAGUCGCGAGAUUCAGAAGUCAGCAGCGCACCCAACGCAACAUCAACAAAUUUUACUCCUCGGCCGAGCACGGCCGACGAGUUGGCACGCCCCGCAUACACCCGAACGACGUAGUUAGCUUACUAAUUACUCGGCCUGCACGCCACGUAGGCUUGGUAGUUUUUAGGGUCAACAGAGGGUCAAAGCCUCAGAAAGCUCAAGUUACCAAUGUGGGAGGACAGAACCUUCCAAUCGACUUGAUCGACUGUAACUCUCUUGUGUCUGCGGCCGCAAGUAAGGCCUGGCCACUGACAGAAGUGGAGGGAUGCAUUCCAGGAGCUAAGGAUGGCCAUGCGAUCAAUCACAAUUUCAGCUUUAGAGGCAAGCAAGGACAGCCUAUCCACUUCAUCUCCUCCUAGACGUGAGCAGGGGGCAGAGGGAAAAGGAAAGAGUCGUAUGAAAAUAAACCUAGUACUAAGGAGGAUGGGAACUCCAUCAAGAAGGCCGCACAUGAAAGCUUAAGUUUUGAAGCAGAAGUACAUAUACAUGAACAGAAACAAAACAUUAAUUGCAGCAAAUGUAGGUCUUGAUGAAAGACAUUGUAAGUUGAUGGAAAGACUUUGAAAGUUGAAGAGCAGACAGGAGUAAAUUCUGGAGUCCAAAUUGGUUACUCAAAGACUUGGAAAUGCUGUGGGUCUCAUUGUCGCCGCCUUCAUGACUCAUACUAAUUUUUAGAUAUCAUAAUCUGUUAGAAUAUUAAUUAUAAUGUGAAUGAAAAUAAUUCGGCGAGAGCAGUAGGGCCUUAGAUAGAUGUGAAAUGGGGGUCUAGGUCUUCUCCGGAUUGUUCACAAAACUCUAAUCACUAAGAUUGAUUGCUGGCCGCAUGAUCUGCAUUAACAGGCAGGAUUACAGUUUUGGAAAGAAUCCGCAGAGAGAGAUUCGGGGAGAAUCUGGUGUUAAUUGCUGUGAGGGAUUCUGGUGAUCAAAAUGCGGGUUAUGAGUUGAAUUCUUCACACCAUGACUGAAGGGCAUAAAGAAAUUGUGCAGCAAACUGCGGAGAAUAUGACUAUAAAUUGCACUCAUUCAUACUAGUAAGAGUAUAUGUUAAUCUUAUAUCUGUGUUCACACUUCAAAUUUUCAGUGCUACUUCCUUUGAAAGUGUUCUUACUGUUAACACUUGACACACAGAGCAAAUAGAUG
rnacentral:lncRNA from 1 species